UACGUAGGCCAAGAGCGUUGUUCUUAUUUACUGGGCGUAAAGGGCGCGUAGGCGGCGUGGCGUGUCAAGUGUGAAAUCUCCGGGCCCAACCCGGAAAGUGCGCUUGAAACUACCACGCCCGAGUGCGGAAGGGGGAAUCGGAAUACAGGGUGUAGCGGUGAAAUGCGUUGAUAUCCUGUAGAACACCGGAGGCGAAGGCGGAUUCCUUGUACGCAACUGACGCUGAGGCGCGAAAGCCGGGGGAGCAAAC
rnacentral:rRNA from 1 species